rnacentral:rRNA from 1 species
AGCGAACGCUGGCGGCAGGCCUAACACAUGCAAGUCGAACGGAUCCUUCGGGAUUGGUGGCGGACGGGUGAGUAACACGUGGGAACGUGCCCUUUGGUUCGGAACAACUCAGGGAAACUUGAGCUAAUACCGGAUGUGCCCUUCGGGGGAAAGAUUUAUCGCCAUUGGAGCGGCCCGCGUCUGAUUAGCUAGUUGGUGAGGUAACGGCCCACCAAGGCGACGAUCAGUAGCUGGUCUGAGAGGAUGAUCAGCCACACUGGGACUGAGACACGGCCCAGACUCCUACGGGAGGCAGCAGUGGGGAAUCUUGCGCAAUGGGCGAAAGCCUGACGCAGCCAUGCCGCGUGAAUGAUGAAGGUCUUAGGAUUGUAAAAUUCUUUCAGCGGGGACGAUAAUGACGGUACCCGCAGAAGAAGCUCCGGCUAACUUCGUG